UGGUUGCCAUGGGAAUGCUGCAGGGAGCUCCUCUUCCUCCCACCAAUGGGCUUCAGCGAUUUGUUACCGCGGGAAACCUGGCUUGUUGCCUAGGAGACCAGAGGCUGCGUGCUCACGGAUGGAGAGCUGAGAGUCGCAGCUCGGCUCUUACUACUGAUGAAACGCCGUGCAGAGACACAGACGCGCUGUGUUUACUGGUGUGUGGGGGCAACGCUGAUCUGCUGAUCGUAAUCUUCUGCGUUACACAAACGCACGGAGUGUUCACGAGACGGUUUCUUCUGCUGCUGAUCAUUCAGGAGGAGAGUGAACGGAUUUGGGCGACAGAAGCUUCCAGGGGAGCGUUUUCUGCGAGAUUUCACAUUUGGAUGCAGCGUGAAGAAUGAAGAGCAGAGAAAGUAUUCAAACACAUGAUGAAUUAUUGAUAAGGGAGCCAUCUGGAGAUGCAAAUAACCUCCUACUAAUUCACCAAGGACAUCACCUGAGAACACGCCAGCACUGCAUUGCAGAGGGAAACAUCACACAGUGUAGUAAGAGACAGUGAAAAACUCAUGACCUGCUUUUUUUUUUUUCAAACUUGGGUAUUUCAGUGUCCACCUACACCUGCAGAAGAGUUUGUUACUGUGCAGCUGUCGAGGAGUUCACUGACUCAUGACGACUGACUGAUUAGAAUUUGUCUCUCGAGGUGGAAUGAAUCAAAAUGUUGUCAGUGAAACGAGGAUAAACGUUGAUAAUGUACAUUUCUGCCAACACAUCGUCACACACUGCUAAUAAUAUAAGUCCAAGAUCAAUUACUGCCUUUAGUAUUUGAAAAGGAUAUUAAGUAAAAUUGUUGACCGAAAAUAAAACAAACAAUUAAUGAUAAGUUUAAUCAACUUGAAACAAAUCAAGCUUGUAUAUUUAAGUUAAAUUUAUCAGAAAAAAGAAGUUGAUUCCACUAAAUUUAGACUCCCAAACGACAUAUAUCACCUUUCCCAGAACAAACAUGUAGCACAUUAGCAACAGAUGUACUGGACGUUGUCCUAAGUUUGGUUAGCUUUAGGAACACAUUGUGGUUCAGGUUAUUUACAUAACCUCAGUUUCAAACAUACCUACGUAUGUAACUUAAGUGACAUCAGGUAACUUAACUAAAAACGUACGUAACUGGACACAAACUGCGGCGUCUUGGGUCAAAGUCCUGUGUUCGUUUUACUCAACCUUCCAACACUUUCUCCUCCUCAUCUGGACUUUAAGACUUGAUGUUUAUGUUUUUUUCACUUGACUUCCUCCUCUGCCGCUGUAACGAUUACCACGGCCACUAGAGGUCACCGCCUAGCAAGGAAUGGAAAUAUGGGCUAUAUCGACUUACAUGAUCUAGUUCGGCUUAGGCUCAAAAACAAUUAGCUUAGUGCUUGGAAAAAGAUAUUUUCAUACACAUCUCCUCACAAACAUCUGGUUUUGUUGCCACAUGUCCAGUGGUUUGACGCUUUCAAAUGUUGAAACAUCAUCUAGAACACAGUCCCCUCCUCCUCUUGACAUGUAAGUGAGCUCAUAUACUCAUAGUGUGAAUAUGAUUUGACAUUUUGUAGAAAUGUCGAUAUGAUGUGUAUGAAAUGUACAAAUUUAACGUAUCGACGGUUUUCAAAAACAUUCUGGAGACGUGCUGCCAAUUUUUAAAAAAAUGCUCUUCAACAAAAAUGUGCUUUGCCUUCUACAGUAUACGUUCCUG